CAGUCGCCGCGGUAAUACGUAGGUGCAAGCGUUGUCCGGAAUUAUUGGGCGUAAAGCGCGCGCAGGCGGCCUAUCCAGUCUGUCUUAAAAGUUCGGGGCUCAACUCCGUGAUGGGAUGGAAACUAGUAGGCUAGAGCAUCGGAGAGGAAAGCGGAAUUCCUAGUGUAGCGGUGAAAUGCGUAGAUAUUAGGAAGAACACCAGUGGCGAAGGCGGCUUUCUGGACGAAAACUGACGCUGAGGCGCGAAAGCCAGGGGAGCGAACGGGAUUAGAUACCCCGGUAGUCCCUGUCUCUUAUACAC
rnacentral:rRNA from 1 species